CGCAGGCGCGAACGGCUCCGGGCUGGGACAAGCUGUGAAAUGGGGAUAAAGAUACUUUACAGGGUUACUGUGAAGAACAAAGGCAGCUCAGUUUUGCUCAUGAGCAAACUCCAGUUCACAGACAGAAACUUCGGAGAGGUUCAGUACCUUCCUUCAAACCACACAGGCCUGAUCACGGGACCGUCUAGCCCUGGCCCAUGUUCCUUAUCUACUUGCCGACUACCUGGUAAUGACACAGAGAGGCUCCUGAAGUGGAUGCAACACAUUGCUGGCUGGAGUAAUUGUUCUUGAAAGGAAGCCAGACCCAGCCAUCACCUGCAUAAAACCCUCCUGUGGCUCCCCACUGGUCUCAGGAUAGAUUCCAAACUCCUAGCCUGCCACUUAAGGCCCGGGGUCAUGGGCCUCCUUCAGUCAUGCUGGAUUCUAAUUUCCCAAAUGGUCAACUCUUUUCUGCAGCCUGAGCUACUUGUAACACUGACCACCUCUUUGUCCUUCGGGACACAGCUUGGUAUACACUUCCUCCAUGAAGCCUAUUCUCUCCCCAAUUCCAAAUUAGUAAAUGUUCCCACAGCUUAAUUAUCCCAUUGGCAAACUUUCUCCUCUAAUUCUCUACUUAUUUCUGUUUCCUCCUGGAGACUCCAACUUCCCUGAGGGUGGAGACCAUGUCAAUCCUGUUUACUUGUCUUUCCAGUGCCAGGAAUAUACUAGAAGGCUUUCAGUAAAUGUAGAAUAAAUGAAUGGUUAAUGGG